UACUCAGUUCAGAUUGCAGGCUGCAACCCGCCUGCAUGAAGUCGGAAUUGCUAGUAAUCGCGGAUCAGCAUGCCGCGGUGAAUACGUUCCCGGGCCUUGUACACACCGCCCGUCACACCAUGGGAGCCGGUAAUACCCGAAGUCAGUAGUCCAACCUCGUGAGGACGCUGCCGAAGGUAGGAUUGGCGACUGGGGUGAAGUCGUAACAAGGUACC
rnacentral:rRNA from 1 species